rnacentral:rRNA from 1 species
ACUCCUACGGGAGGCAGCAGUGAGGAAUAUUGGUCAAUGGAGGGAACUCUGAACCAGCCAUCCCGCGUGUAGGAAGACGGCCUUAUGGGUUGUAAACUACUUUUAUACAGGAAGAAACGUACCCUCGUGAGGGUGCCUGACGGUACUGUAGGAAUAAGCACCGGCUAACUCCGUGCCAGCAGCCGCGGUAAUACGGAGGGUGCGAGCGUUAUCCGGAUUUAUUGGGUUUAAAGGGUCCGUAGGCGGAUUAAUAAGUCAGUGGUGAAAUCCCAUCGCUUAACGAUGGAACUGCCAUUGAUACUGUUAGUCUUGAAUGAGGGUGCAGUGGUUGGAAUGUGUAGUGUAGCGGUGAAAUGCAUAGAUAUUACACAGAACACCGAUUGCGAAGGCAGAUCACUAACCCUAAAUUGACGCUGAGGGACGAAAGCGUGGGGAGCGAACAGGAUUAGAUACCCUGGUAGCGUCGUC